rnacentral:lncRNA from 1 species
CUAUGUCUAAAAAGCAUCAACUCAGGGAUUGGAGCCCUAAUGUUGGAAAAAGGCGACUAGGGAAUGGAGGCCCUAUGUCUAAAAAGCAUCAACUCAGGGAUUGGAGCCCUAAUGUUGGCAAAGGGCGACUAGGGAAUGGAGGACCUAUGUCUAAAAAUAUCAACUCAGGGAUUGGAGCCCUAAUGUUGGCAAAAGGUGACUAGGGAAUGGAGGCCCUAUGUCUAAAAGGCUCAACUCAGGGAUUGGAGCCAUAAUGUUGGCAAAAAAGGCGACUAGGGAAUGGGGUCCCUAUGUCUAAAAAGCAUCAACUCAGGGAUUGGAGCCCCAAUGUUGGCAAAACGCGACUAGGGAAUGGAGACCCUAUGUCUAAAAAUAUCAACUCAAGGAUUGGAGCCCUAAUGUUGGCAAAAGGCGACUNNN